rnacentral:rRNA from 1 species
GAUGAACGCUGGCGGCGUGCCUAAUACAUGCAAGUCGAGCGAACGGACGAGAAGCUUGCUUCUCUGAUGUUAGCGGCGGACGGGUGAGUAACACGUGGAUAACCUACCUAUAAGACUGGGAUAACUUCGGGAAACCGUAGCUAAUACCGGAUAAUAUUUUGAACCGCAUGGUUCAAUAGUGAAAGACGGUCUUGCUGUCACUUAUAGAUGGAUCCGCGCCGCAUUAGCUAGUUGGUAAGGUAACGGCUUACCAAGGCAACGAUGCGUAGCCGACCUGAGAGGGUGAUCGGCCACACUGGAACUGAGACACGGUCCAGACUCCUACGGGAGGCAGCAGUAGGGAAUCUUCCGCAAUGGGCGAAAGCCUGACGGAGCAACGCCGCGUGAGUGAUGAAGGUCUUCGGAUCGUAAAACUCUGUUAUUAGGGAAGAACAUAUGUGUAAGUAACUGUGCACAUCUUGACGGUACCUAAUCAGAAAGCCACGGCUAACUACGUG